rfam:Albugo candida, Ac Nc2, WGS project CAIX01000000 data, contig: AcNc2_CONTIG_235_length_40201
AUACUUACCUGACUGGAGUCUGACAGUGAUCAAUAAGGCUGUUGGCUUGGGCCGGAGCAGGUCCCUUGCACCCCGAUGCUGUAAUGGUCCAGGAAUGCCCUCUGGGUAACUCCACAGUAUAAUUUUUGAUAGCGGGGGUGAGCGCGUGCGCCGCCCCCAC